AAUUUGUUUCAGAAACAAAGCGAGCCAAGAGUAAAUCAUUCAGAAAUUGAAUGAUGGCAGAAUAACGGCGACUCUAUCAUGCCACAUGAGAUUAUUUAAACAGUUGUUAUAAAAGCCUUGUUGGUUUUUCGAUAACGAUUACGUCGAGUCCAAGGAUGCUAAAGAAUCUAAGAAGCCCAGCAGCCGAGGACUAAUCGCCAUAUGAGCCCGGAAUUGCGAAUGUAAAUGAGCGGAGGAAAAGUUCAAACGGCGUAAGUCAACACACUGGGAAAACCGGUUCACAGACACCGACAUACGCGCGAAGGACGUCAGCUUUUGCAAGUUAAAUCUGAAAAUUCAAGGGCCAGCUCGAGGGGAGGAUAUUUCUGUCCGAGACCAGAGGGAAACGAAGGAGAGAAGGAGAAGGACAAGACGCAGCACGAUGUCGAAUACCCAGCAACGAAGCUUCGCUAUCGCACACCCUCUAUUCCGGUAUUCCUAAUCGUCGUCGAGGAACGAGGAGAGAGACUCGAUAGGGGAUGAUGACACUCACCCUCACGGGGUUAGACCGUCGCGAUGAAAGCCUCGUUGGCAGCGCGGACGACCAUCAUCGUGCUCGCGUCGAAAACGGCAGUAGUGGCAGUGGCAGUGGCACCCACGGCGGCGAUGACAAUGGCAGCGACGGUGGCGGCGGUGGCAGUUACGACGACGUCGAGGACGCUGUGAAACGCGGCGACAACGGCGGCGGUGGCGACGACGACGACGGCGACGGCGGCACCACGACGAGCAACGUUAGCGUUAGUGUAAACCGAUGAUGACGGCGACGAGGAUAACGAGCAGUAGUCACUAUCCACCUCCGUACGAUCCGGAGAGGACACCAUUUCCCUUUUGCCCGUCCGAUCGCGUGCACACCCGACGACGACGACGCCGACGCCCGCACUGCUGCUGCUGCUGCUGUAGCUGGUCCGCGAAACGACGACCACGCUAUGGCACCACCGUGGUCGCGCUACCACACCGAGUGACAUCGUCGCAGUGUCAUCGUCGUCGCGCCCAUCGGCGUGCGCUCCGAUUUUUUUUCUCUUGCGUGCUGGUUACCCGAUAUCGCACCGUGUUUGCGCGAAACACGAAAGGAAAAAAAAAGGAAAAAAUGAACAAACGAACGCACAAAACGCACGCACUCUCUCUUCCUCUCUCUCUAUAUAUAUAUCUCUCUCUCGCUCUCUCUC